rnacentral:lncRNA from 1 species
ACCCAGGGCAUUAAAACCACUUCAGUCUAAUAGCCUUCUAUUUAUUUUAAGACUUUCUACAUGUCUUAUCAACCUGAAUCUUUUUUUUUCUAACUCUGACAGAUGGAGAACAACCUGUGUCUUGUGUUGGUGCUAAUUCCUCUAGUUGCUAACACCAAAGCAACAACAUUGCUAACCAUGCCUACUAAAGAUUCUGCUGUUGUUCCUGGUCUAUGCUGAAAUUCCACAUCAAGGACCCUGACAUCUACAUCAAGGUUCUCCUGCAGAGAAGAAUAUCAUGUGAAAUAUUGAUAAAGUUCUUCCAAGAACAGCAUAAUUGUUGCGAUGCUUAA